rnacentral:rRNA from 1 species
CUACGGGUUGCACCAGCAGGGAAUAUUGCACAAUGGACGGAAGUCUGAUGCAGCGACGCCGCGUGGAUGAUGAAGGCCUUCGGGUUGUAAAAUCCUUUUCAGGGAGAAGAGGAAGGACGGUAUCCCUGGAAUAAGCGUCGGCUAACUACGUGCCAGCAGCCGCGGUAAUACGUAGGACGCGAAGCGUUAUCCGGAUUUACUGGGCGUAAAGCGUCUGUAGGCGGUUUAGUAAGUUUGAUGUGAAAGCUCCAGGCUCAACUUGGAGAGUGCAUUGAAUACUGCUAGACUUGAGGGGAUCAGAGGAAAGCGGAAUUUCCGGUGUAGCGGUAAAAUGCGCAGAUAUCGGAAAGAACACCAGUGGCGAAGGCGGCUUUCUGGGAUCAACCUGACGCUGAGAGACGAAAGCUAGGGUAGCGAACAGGAUUAGAUACCCGAGUAGUC